rnacentral:rRNA from 1 species
CCUACGGGUGGCUGCAGUCGAGAAUAGUCUACAAUGGACGAAAGUCUGAUAGUGCGACGCCGCGUGAACGAAGAAGCCCUUCGGGGUGUAAAGUUCUUUUAUAUGUGAGCAAUGCUUUAUAUGUGAAUAGCAUAUAGGGAGAGAUAUUAGCAUAUGAAUAAGCAACGGCUAACUCCGUGCCAGCAGCCGCGGUAACACGGGGGUUGCAAGCGUUGUCCGGAAUUACUAGGCGUAAAGGGCAGGUAGGCGGAUACAUAAGUUUGAUGUUAAAGGCAGCGGCUCACCCGCUGUACGGCAUUAGAUACUGUGUAUCUGGAAUGCGGUUGGGGAAGACAGAAUUCCUGGUGUAGCGGUGGAAUGCGCAGAGAUCAGGAGGAAUACCAAAGGCGAAGGCAGUCUUCUAAGCCGUAAUUGACGCUAAACUGCGAAGGUGUGGGUAUCAAACAGGAUUAGAUACCCUGGUAGUC